rnacentral:rRNA from 1 species
AUGUACUGCUUAUGGACAGAACUGUGGGGACGCAGAAGGAGAGCACGAGCCGGAAAUGGAAAAGCCGGUACAAGCGUAUAGCAGUCAUGCAGGCAAAACCGCAUGAAAAAUGUAAAGCGUUAUGUGGAUCGAACAAUAGUAGAGAAGCGUGUGAGCCAGCUGCCAAGAAAAGCCGCUAUUGUUUCAUAAGUACCCGUACCGUAAACCGACACAGGUGGAUGAGGAGAGAAUCCUAAGGCCGGCGGGAGAAGUGUUGUUAAGGAACUCGGCAAAAUGACUCCGUAACUUCGGGAGAAGGAGUGCCACAGAGAUGUGGCCGCAGAGAAAUGGCCCAAGCAACCGUUUAGCAAAAACACAGGUCUAUGCAAAACCGAAAGGUGAGGUAUAUGGGCUGACGCCUGCCCGGUGCUGGAAGGUUAAGAGGAGGGGUUAGAGCAAUCGAAGCUUUGAACUUAAGCCCCAGUAAACGGCGGCCGUGACAAUAACGGUCCUAAGGUAGCGAAAUUCCUUGUCGGGUAAGUUCCGACCCGCACGAAAGGCGUAAUGAUUUGGGCACUGUCUCAACAACACACCCGGUGAAAUUGAAAUACCAGUGAAGAUGCUGGUUACCUGCGCCAGGACGGAAAGACCCCAUGGAGCUUUACUCCAGUUUGAUACUGGGAUUCGGUACUGUCUGUACAGGAUAGGUGGGAGGCUAGGAAAUGGUGACGCCAGUUGCCAUGGAGCCAACCUUGGGAUACCACCCUUACAGUACCGGGUUUCUAACCUGCAGCCGUAACCCGGCUGGGGGACAAUGUCUGACGGGGGGUUUGACUGGGGCGGUCGCCUCCGAAAGAGUAUCGGAGGCGCUCAAAGGUUCCCUCAGAACGGUUGGAAACCGUUCGAAGAGUGCAAAGGCAGAAGGGAGCUUGACUGCGACACCGACGGGUGAGCAGAUACGAAAGUAGGACUUAGUGAUCCGGUGGUAUAAAGUGGGAUUGCCAUCGCUCAACGGAUAAAAGCUACCCUGGGGAUAACAGGCUUAUCACUCCCAAGAGUUCACAUCGACGGAGUGGUUUGGCACCUCGAUGUCGGCUCAUCGCAUCCUGGAGCUGUAGCAGGUUCCAAGGGUUGGGCUGUUCGCCCAUUAAAGCGGUACGCGAGCUGGGUUCAGAACGUCGUGAGACAGUUCGGUCCCUAUCCGGCGUGGGCAUAGGAUAUUUGAGAGGAGCUGUCCUUAGUACGAGAGGACCGGGAUGGACAAACCUCUGGUGUAUCUGUUGUUUUACCAAAGGCAUGGCAGAGUAGCCAAGUUUUGGCAGGGAUAAACGCUGAAGGCAUCUAAGCGUGAAGCCCCCCUCAAGAUAAGAUAUCCCAUCUUCGGAGUAAGACCCCUUGAAGACUACAAGGUUGAUAGGCUUCAGGUGUAAGUGCGGUAACGCACUCAGCUGAGAAGUACUAAUAGGUCGAGGACCAA